UACGAAGGGGGGCUAGCGUUGCUCGGAAUUACUGGGCGUAAAGGGCGCGUAGGCGGAUGUUUAAGUUGGGGGUGAAACCCGGGGCUCAACCUCGGAAUUGCCUUCAAUACUGGACAUCUUGAGUACGGGAGAGGUGAGUGGAACUCCGAGUGUAGAGGUGAAAUUCGUAGAUAUUCGGAAGAACACCAGUGGCGAAGGCGACUCACUGGCCCGUUACUGACGCUGAGGCGCGAAAGCGUGGGGAGCAAACAGG
rnacentral:rRNA from 1 species